rnacentral:rRNA from 1 species
AUUGAACGCUGGCGGCGUGCUUUACACAUGCAAGUCGAACGGCAUCACGGGUGCUUGCACCUGGUGGCGAGUGGCGAACGGGUGAGUAAUACAUCGAGACGUACCAAGUAGAGGGGGAUAACUAAUCGAAAGAUUAGCUAAUACCGCAUAAUCUCUGAGGAGGAAAGGUGGGGACCAGCAAUGGCCUGUCGUUACUUGAGCGGUCGAUGGUUGAUUAGCUAGUUGGUGGGGUAAGAGCUUACCAAGGCGAUGAUCGAUAGCUGUUCUGAGAGGAAGAUCAGCCACACUGGGACUGAGACACGGCCCAGACUCCUACGGGAGGCAGCAGUGGGGAAUAUUGGACAAUGGGGGCAACCCUGAUCCAGCAACGCCGCGUGAAUGAAGAAGGCC